UGGCCCGCCCCCCAUUCCAGCACGUGCUGGGGAUGGUUAGACAGCCGGGGGCCUCCAACUAUCCUUCCCCAACUGAUCUAACCGACUGGGGAGUCGGUUAGUGCCCGGAACGGCCUCGGGAAGGUGGAGAAAAACAGAAAAAAAGUUGAGUUCGUGCACACAACGCGUUCGAGAAAAUUCCCAAGAGGGAGAAAGAGGAGCUAGAGAGAAAACAAGAGAGAGACAGUGAAAGGGAGAGGGUAGAAGUCCUGCAAUCGAGUGUUCGGCGCCGCCCUAACCGGAGGAGCGCCGGUGAAUUGGCUGUUGACCGUGACUUCCCCUCCAAGUUCCAAUGAGGAGGCUGAUCGUGAACGGGUGAAAAGUAGCCUAGAUUACCCAAUCUAGGACUUUCUCAACAAAUCCAAGAUUGUGAGCUGGUAGAAAAAGUGCCAAGGGACGAGAUCAUCACUUGUUCGUGGUUCAGAAAUUCAAUUUUGCUCCCCAACGACGAAGGUAAAAACGCUUCCCACAUGCACAUUACUUGUUUGUCAAAAUGCCGAAGGGACUUUCAGAGUUGAUUCGUUUGUGAUUUUUAAACUUGUUCGGUUUUAUGAUGCUUAUUAGUUCCUCCUUUGUGUCUCUAAUCCAUUUCUUGUUUGAUUUGUGUGUUUUGGAUCGAUGAUUUUGGAUCUGCAUUGAGUCGGCCAUCAAUGUUCCCUUGCCGGUGCCAAUAAAUCAUCGCAUUGCAUUCUCCCGUGGCAAAAGCUUAUCCAAAGAACAACAACGGUCGUGUCGCGUCGCGUCAUUCUAAUUCAAUUCGGGGCUCACCGUGCAACUGCGGGUCCGGCUAUUGCUGUUCAAAGCUGGCCUUACAUAGAAAAGAACAAACAAGGAGACGAAGAGAUGUACACAUCGGAUGCCACAAAGGAGUUGAUUUCACAAAGACAACACCUUCAUUUGGGACACGAUGAAGAGGGACUUUUGCCCCGAAAUGAGGUGACAGAAGACAUAUUUCCCCUAGGGGAAAUGGAACAUUGUCACAUACAUACAUACGGAUCUCACAAUAAUUCAUGUGAAAUUAUUGUCUAUGCCUAAAACUUAUGUCGGGUCACUAUAUUGAGGACCAUAAUGCCAACGAUUUUUAUUAUUGGGCGAAAUCGUAAACGCUGAGUACUUCACCUAUGCCCUUGCCCAAAAAAAGGGGAUAAAAUAUCACAUUAUUUACUCUUACACUCAGUCAUUCACUCGAAUUCCUUGUAAUUUCUGCUGCACCUAUAGUUAGUAAUUUAUUUUUAUUGGGUCACAAUUUAUCUAUAAGGUCUGUAAAACGAAACUUCUAGCACUUACUUUAGUUAUUAUCGAAUAGUAGAGUAAAUU